GACGAACGCUGGCGGCGUGCUUAACACAUGCAAGUCGAACGGAAAGGCCCUGCUUUUGUGGGGUGCUCGAGUGGCGAACGGGUGAGUAACACGUGAGUAACCUGCCCUUGACUUUGGGAUAACUUCAGGAAACUGGGGCUAAUACCGGAUAGGAUCUCCUGCUGCAUGGUGGGGGUUGGAAAGUUUCGGCGGUUGGGGAUGGACUCGCGGCUUAUCAGCUUGUUGGUGGGGUAGUGGCUUACCAAGGCUUUGACGGGUAGCCGGCCUGAGAGGGUGACCGGCCACAUUGGGCCUGAGAUACGGCCCAGACUCCUACGGGAGGCAGCAGUGGAGAAUAUUGCACAAUGGGCGGAAGCCUGAUGCAGCAACGCCGCGUGCGGGAUGACGGCCUUCGGGUUGUAAACCGCUUUCGCCUGUGACGAAGCGUGAGUGACGGUAAUGGGUAAAGAAGCACCGGCUAACUACGUG
rnacentral:rRNA from 1 species